GGGUUCCGCCGCGGGGCUGCGAGCGCGCGCGGGCCAGUUCGGGCCGGGGGCGGGAACCGGCUCGGAUGCUCAGGGACGGUGGGGGUGGCAGGGCCCACCGGCUUGAGGCUGCCUUUCCCGGCGUUCCCUCGUUUAUUGGCUCACUCUUCCUUUCAUCCAUCCAUCCUUUGCGCAACAAUAUUUGAUGGGAAGCCUGCCAAGGAAUUAAAUUUUGUUCAGACAUCCACUCUUCACCUUCCCAGCCCCUGUUUGCCUGUAACUACAAAGCAGUUUUCAGAUUACUCCAUUUGAUUCUCACAAGAACAUCGUAAAUGGAAAAGACUAGAAUUGCCCUGAGUUCACAGAUUGGUCAUCGAGGUCAAAGAAAUCAAGUGACUUCUGGAGGCCACACAGCUAAUAAACAGCAAGGCAAUGACUUGAACCCAGGUCUUCUGGUUCCAGAGGCAGGGAGAAAGACACAUGGGCAGGAGAAUACCACAUGGAGACACAGACACACGAGGGGAGGAUGCCUGCUGACCAUGGAGGCAGAAGUGGGACUGACGCAUCGAUCAGCUGAGGGAUGCCAAGCACUGCCAGCAAACACCAGAGGCUUGAUGGGGGCGAGUAUUCUCCUGUGCAGGUAUCAGAGGGAGCCUGGCCUUGCAGAUACCUUGAUUCCUGACUUCUGGCCUCUAAAAUGUCCAAUGUGAGUCAGGCAUCUCUCCUGGUGGCUGUCUUCCAUGUGGUGACUUAUGUAUCCAGGAUCCUUCUACUGUGUUUCUCCUCCAUUGCGAAGUCCUUCACUUCCAGCACCUGAGACAUUUUUUGGGUAUAUCUACAAGUGGCAUAUAUCACUUCUGCCCACAUUCACCUGGGUAGAACUCAAUCACAUUGUUUCACCUAACUGCAAGUGAGGCUGUGGAAUAUAGUCUCCCUAUGUGCCCAAGCAGAAGAAACAGGAUUGGUGAGCAUCUAGCCCAUCUCUACCACUAACAGUUUAUCCCCCCUAAUAAAUCAAUACACUGAUGAUCUA
rnacentral:lncRNA from 1 species